GGAAGGGGCGGGGAGAUCCCAGCUACUAGAGGACGCCCGUUCCAAUGGCAACUCUGCCAAGGCGCCUAUGAGAGCCUCUUGGCUUUUACCUGGUCUGCGAGAAAUCAAACUUUGGGCACAAGUCAUGAAGCCGACAAGCCCGGGAGACACAGUGUCAGAAUUACAAGGAACACUACAAGGCCUGUUAGAGAAGAAAGGGUAGAAUCCCGAGAAUGUUUUCCCCACAGUGCUGAUAAGGAGAGACCACUAUCCCAUCUACUGCUACAGCUCUGGAGACAGAGCUCUCCCACCUGUCAUAUAGAACACAAGGACCAAUCUGCAGAGAAAGAGCAUCCAAACCUGAUCCAGUGGACACUGGGGAAAAACUCACCACAGCUGAGUGUGGAAAAACAAGGCCAACACACACAUCUCUGCACAGAUACAUCUCCCAUAAAGAAACUAAAGUGUUAAUUUACAGGGCACUGUUGCAGACCCACUUCAGCUGGAAGCUAGGAACAUGGACAAGGAGCCUCUCUACCACCAAGGGAGAGAGAGGAAUGUGCUCUUGUCCUGGCAUUGCAUCCACAGGAGGGGCAGGAAAUUCUUUGAAGGUCUCGCAUCUGGGGCUCGAUCUCGUGCAGAGGAGCAUUUCCGAAGACACUGGCCGCUCCCACAAUGGCUCCGAAGAACCCAGCGACCAGCGGGUUCAUGAGUUUGUUGGGGCUGUCCACUCGGUACCAGCUGCGCAGGGAUGUCAGGACAAAGAAACAAGUUGCCUGGUUCCAGCCCUGCUUCAGCACGGGGCCUGUGGGGCCCCGGUAAGUCCCGGUGUUCCCGCACAAUCUCCUAACCCUGUGGAAGAAUCCCCUGUACUUGGAUUUGGAGAGGUCUGGCCAUGGAUUAACUUCACCUUGAUGGUCUCCAUGGGACAUAGGACCACCACGGCCUCGGCCACGCUAGCUCACUGGCCGCACCGCUGCCCGCCUUGCUGUUCACCAGUCCCUGGGCAUCCCGCAUCUGGUUGCUGAGGAACGCCUGACGCCGCCUUGUGGAUGAAGCCGCAGAGCAGGGAGCUGAGGCUGCGGCCCAGGCCCAGGCUGCCUUGGCUGCGACUGUGUGCCUGCAGGCCCCAUGCCCGGUAUCCGGUGGAUGCGAGUGCUAGUCCAGCUGCAGCUGCAUCUUCACGAACUCGGCUGGAGUGCAGUGGCGCGAUCUUGGCUCACUACAACCUGGAUUCAAGCGAUUCUCCUGCCUCAGCCUCCCGAGUAGCUGGGAUUACAGGCAUGUGCCACCAUUCCCGGCUAAUUUUUUUGUCUUUUUAGUAGAGACGGUGUUUCCCCAUGUUGGUCAGGCUGGUCUCAAACGCCUGACUCAGAUGAUCCGCCCGCCUCGGCCACCCAAAGUGCUGAGAUUACAGGCUUGAACCACCGCGCCUGGCCCUGUGAUGUAGAUUUUGAUGCUGCCAGCCAGGCUGCCUGCCGGGAUCGCCUGCCCUGGAGCAGGAGCAUCAGCCGUGCGUUCCAGGACGCAGGCAUGGCAUGACCGGCAGGAGGCGGAGUGCCCGGCGUCUCUUGGGAUCGGAGCCUCCUGAAUUCCACGCUGGGACCUUAAUUUGGUUUUAACACAAAUAAAGAUCUCACAUAAAGAUAAAA
ensembl:lncRNA LINC02987 long intergenic non-protein coding RNA 2987